rnacentral:tRNA from 1 species
CGCGGGGUGGAGCAGCUGGUAGCUCGUUGGGCUCAUAACCCAAAGGUCGUAGGUUCGAAUCCUACCCCCGCUA